UACGUAGGCAGCGAGCGUUGCUCGGAAUCACUGGGCGUAAAGGGUGCGUAGGCGGGUCUUUAAGUCAGGGGUGAAAUCCUGGAGCUCAACUCCAGAACUGCCUUUGAUACUGAGGAUCUUGAGUUCGGGAGAGGUGAGUGGAACUGCGAGUGUAGAGGUGAAAUUCGUAGAUAUUCGCAAGAACACCAGUGGCGAAGGCGGCUCACUGGCCCGAUACUGACGCUGAGGCACGAAAGCGUGGGGAGCAAACAGG
rnacentral:rRNA from 1 species